rnacentral:lncRNA from 1 species
UCCAUGAUGAACAAAAUAUCAACAUUUUAAAUAAAGACAAGGUGCUUGUAUGCUUGUCUGUUUCCAAUCAGCUGUGGUUUCUGGGCCCCAUGGCCUCCAUGUCCCCAUGAGACUGCUUCAUGAGGGCUGACAGUGGCAUGCUGUAUUAGGCUGUUUUUGCAUUGCUGUGAAGAAAUACCCAGGACUGGUUAAUUUAUAAAGAAAAGAGGUUUGAUUGGCUCCCGGUUCUGCAGGCUGUACAAGCAUGGUGCUGGCAUCUGCUCGGCUGCAGGGAGGCCUCGGGGAGCUUUUACUUGUGGCGGAAGAAGAAGGGGGAGCAGGCCCUUACAUGACAAAAGCAGGAGCAAGGGCUGGGGUGGAAGUGCCACACACGUAAACAGCCAGAUCUCAUGAGAACUCACUCGCUAUCAGGAGGACAGCCCCAAGCCCUGAGGGAUCCUCCCCCACGACCCAAACACCUCCCGCCAGGCCGGCCUCCAACACUGGGGAUUACCUCUCAACAUGAGAUUUGAGCAGGGACAAACAUCCAAACCAAGUCAUGUGCGGACAGAACAACAUUGGGCUUCAUAUCUAGUCAUGGGUUUUGAUUCCAGAGGUUCUAUUCACGUUUUCUGCUUGGUUCAGAAUAUGGGAGGACAUUCUAACAAGUACAUAUGGGGGUGCAUGUGCUUCCUCUUGCCUCAGGCUCCAGUUUGGCCCCAUGUGGCAUGGGCACAGCUCAUCAUUUAGUCAGCACAGAGAGGCGACAGGAAACUGAACAAGGAAGAGAACCUAUGGUGGAAUUAGUACGUUCACAGCUUCUCAUGGGCUAACAGCAUCCACGCACACGCUACAUGAUGUGAACUGCCACGUCCCUUGCAAACAUCCCUCUCUUUGGGAGAGUCUGUAAUUUUUCAAUGACCCUAACAACGUUGACACAAUCUUUCCACUCUAAAAGACACUAGUGUGUCAUAGGAGCAGAUGCAAAACAUGUUCCUUGUUCAUGGGAGCAAUGAUAAUUACUUUGACGACAAUAGAGAAGCUAGAAGGUAUUAGGCUGGGAACAAGACAAUGCAAACAGGACUGGAUUAAUUUGCAUUAAAAAGACUGCAAGAGCAAUUAGCACCUCAUUAAUAUGACAUAAAUGUUAAUUUAUACAGAUCCCAAGUGACCCUCCACUUCCUUCCUCCCCACCAGUGUGAGUGUUAUGGUAGGAAGCACUCCAUGAGAAUGGCUUUCAAAGGCUGGGAGCAAGUCCAUCUGCCCGGCCUUUCCAAGGAGGUGCAGAUGAGUUCGAGUGUCCACUUAGCUGAGGCCACAGCAACCUUCUCACACGAAUGGGCCGCCUGUGGGAAUUACACUGCAGCCCGCAGAAGGCUCUGCGUUCACAAGGGAGCCUCGACACUGCUGCACACAACAGCGCAGUGGCCGUGGUGGCCCAGGAAGGGCUGCAUCCACGCUGGGAGGGGCGGAGCCCACAGAGAACUGCACAGCUAAGGUUUUCCACCACAAACCUGAAGCUCGUUAGGAUCAAAGCAAUUGCCUUGAAUAAUUGAUUUCUU